rnacentral:rRNA from 1 species
UACAGAGGAUGCAAGCGUUAUCCGGAAUGAUUGGGCGUAAAGCGUCUGUAGGUGGCUUUUUAAGUCCGCCGUCAAAUCCCAGGGCUCAACUCUGGACAGGCGGUGGAAACUACCAAGCUGGAGUACGGUAGGGGCAGAGGGAAUUUCCGGUGGAGCGGUGAAAUGCGUAGAGAUGUGGAGGAACACCAGUGGCGAAGGCGACUUUCUGGUCUGUAACUGACACUGAGGCGCGAAAGCGUGGGGAGCGAACAGG